UGCACUUGCCAAUUAAUUGGUAAAAAUAAAUAUAUAAAUUGAUUUUGAAACUGCUGUGGAGGAAAAAUAGCAAACGAUACACAUAUAAUAUAAUGUAUGUGAAUAUUUGGUGAAAGUAAGAAUGGAGAAGCGCAUACACUUGUUGUUCAACGGAGCGAAAGCCUAUGUGUGCAGACAUGUCUUGAUGUACUUGCGUACAUCAAUAUGGCGAUCGGUUAAAUUUUUGGAUGCCCUUAUGAAGUGAAGCGAAAAAAUAUGUGAGACAAAUAUGAAUUAAUCGGAAAUUUGGCAAUGGACGAGUUGAGAUCCAUCAAUGCUUGCUGGGGCGAUAUGCAAAAUGUUGAUGAAGUAUGUGGCUCGAAGGACCAGAUGAUGUUGUACGGCGUCCGCAGGGCUUCCUGAUGAACUUUACGAAUUUCUGUAUCGUUGGGGGAGUGUUUCUGCUCUGCACAAACUUACUUAAGAAGGUUUGAAAAAAACACGUUUGUUCGCUUACAGGUUAUGUUUUCUUCUGUUCUAUAUUUUUAGAGUACAUUACAAUGUAUUAGUGUAAGUGAGGUGAAUUUCAUGUUCCAUGUACUGGUUCCGGAGUUACAUGGCGGUUAGAUGGUGACUUGCCGGAUACACUUCUUGUGUGUACACACACUUUGUUUUUCAAGAUAUCUUGACCAAACUCGGCAUUUAUUAGUUUU